GGGCUCUUAGCUCAGUUGGUAGAGCAGUACACUUUUAAUGUACGGGUCGAUGGUUCGAGUCCAUCAGGGCUCA
rnacentral:tRNA from 3 species